GAGGAUCCAUCUUUCCCCAUUACAUUGCACAACAUUUCAGUCAGCCCAGGUUUCUUUUCCAGUUGCCAAGGAACAUUAUUUAUUUUCCCAUUGCUGCUGCUGCUGCUGCUGCUGUUGUUGUGUGCCUCCAAGUCGGCUACCCUAAGGCCCAGCUACAGAACCUACUUGGAAAGCUGACACAUUUACUUAACAAACAAACAAAAAAUAAUGAAGCACUUCCAGAAAGUAAAGUGAGAAAUAGACUCUCUCCAGAGUGGAAUCUGCAAACCCCCAGAACAUGAUUCAUACUGUGGGAAACUUCUAGUACAUGAAAGCACAGAGUUUACUUCAAGCACCAACUCGAAACACACAAGAAAGAUUCCUGAAGCCAUCGCACCAAGGCUGAGAUCUAUGUACGGUUACUCAGGAGUAAGCCCCAGUGAAUUCUGUGGAACAUCCUCCUCAGUCAACAGGCAUUAUGUAGGGUUCUUGGGGUCGAUUGAGCAGCACAUUCCUGCAAGAGGAAGAUUAAGAAGCAUAGCAUGGAUCACACGGAAUGUGUUCUGCCUCACCUAAUGAGGUUAGAAAUGAGAUGGACUGGCAGAAUUUUCUAUAAUCAUGCUAUCUGAAAAAUCAAAAGAUAGACCAAGCUAAAUGAUGUCUACUUCAUGCAGAAUGACAUAUUCACCGCUUCAGUUUUUUUAAUAAAAAAAUGAUUGUGAUACUGAAAAUGAUUUAUCGCUUUUUCCU